rnacentral:rRNA from 1 species
UACGUAGGUGGCGAGCGUUGUCCGGAUUUACUGGGCGUAAAGGGAGCGUAGGCGGACUUUUAAGUGAGAUGUGAAAUACUCGGGCUCAACUUGAGUGCGGCAUUUCAAACUGGAAGUCUAGAGUGCAGGAGAGGAGAAUGGAAUUCCUAGUGUAGCGGUGAAAUGCGUAGAGAUUAGGAAGAACACCAGUGGCGAAGGCGAUUCUCUGGACUGUAACUGACGCUGAGGCUCGAAAGCGUGGGGAGCAAACAGG